GGGGAUGCUAGGCAUCGACGGUUAGUCGUGUCGGUUGUGUGCAGUGUCGAAACAGGCAAUCAAUUCGUUAAAAGGUUCCACUUUGUAUUUGCAAAAAAAGCAAUACCAAGUCCUUAUGCUAACGCAUUUGGAUUCGCUCCCGCUUUUGCGUAAACUUACGCUAGCCGGAAUGAUGCAGGUUCAGUAAAGGUCUCAUACGCUGAUACUUGUAGAAUAGCCACGAGACUUUGGAAGCCUUUGUCGUUGUCAUAGGUUUCUAAGAAUUAAACAACUCGAGUCAUUUGUGUUUUGUCAGUUCAUAAGCAAAUGAUUUUAAAUCCAAAAAACUAACUACGCACUGUAGACUCACGAUCACACCCUAAUUCGGACGCGGGUUCAAUUCUCGCCAUCUCCACAA
rnacentral:tmRNA from 1 species